GACGAACGCUGGCGGCGUGCCUAAUACAUGCAAGUCGAGCGAACCGACGAAGUGCUUGCACUUCUGACGUUAGCGGCGGACGGGUGAGUAACACGUAAGGAACCUACCGAUAAGCGGGGGACAACAUCCGGAAACGGGUGCUAAUACCGCAUAGGAAACACCACCUCAUGGCAGUGUUUGGAAAGACGGCUUUGCUGUCACUUAUCGAUGGCCUUGCGGUGCAUUAGCUCGUUGGUGGGGUAACGGCCUACCAAGGCAAUGAUGCAUAGCCGACCUGAGAGGGUAAUCGGCCACAUUGGGACUGAGACACGGCCCAAA
rnacentral:rRNA from 1 species